GUUUGACAGCUACCAGCGCGUAGGAUGUUUUUUUUCUGACUGGAGUGUAGAACCAGAAGAUGAAUAUUAUGUUUGCCUCCUUCCUCAGCUAUGGUUGAGGAGGCUAUGAUUUCUCUAGACAAAGCUCAUCUGCUUGAAAGUCGUGAUUAGAUGGGGAAACGAUGUACUUUCUGUCAUCAUUUUGUGAGCUGUGCUUGGAGACUAAAUCCUACUCAGAAAUGAAACCCCCUUCCUUAACUUUUACAUUUUAUGCUUUCUUUCUUCUUUUUCCUGGGGAAAUCAGCUUCCCUGCCUGUUUGUGCUCAGCUGCAUUUCCUGCCCGGGGGAUGCCUGUGCUCCGGAAGGAGAUGCUGUGAAAGCAAAGAGGGGAACAUUGAGGACAUCUCUCAAGAAGCAGUGCCUGUGAUCCCUACCAGAGUGACCACAUGUUUUGUUUCAGCCCUGAGAAGCAGCCAAUCGGUUGUAUGGCCAUGUCAUCCUUGAAGACGCUACUGGUGGAAU
rnacentral:lncRNA from 1 species